UACGGAGGGGGCUAGCGUUGCUCGGAAUUACUGGGCGUAAAGGGCGCGUAGGCGGUUCUAUAAGUCAGGCGUGAAAUUCCUGGGCUUAACCUGGGGGCUGCGCUUGAGACUGUGGGACUUGAGGUCAGAAGAGGGUCGUGGAAUUCCCAGUGUAGAGGUGAAAUUCGUAGAUAUUGGGAAGAACACCGGUGGCGAAGGCGGCGACCUGGUCUGAUACUGACGCUGAGGCGCGACAGCGUGGGGAGCAAACAGG
rnacentral:rRNA from 1 species